rnacentral:rRNA from 1 species
UACCAGCACCCCGAGUGGUCGGGACGAUUAUUGGGCCUAAAGCAUCCGUAGCCGGUUUUACAAGUCCCCCGUUAAAUCCAGCUGCUUAACAGAUGGGCUGCGGAGGAUACUAUAAGACUAGGAGGCAGGAGAGGCAAGCGGUACUCAGUGGGUAGGGGUAAAAUCCGUUGAUCCAUUGAAGACCACCAGUGGCGAAGGCGGCUUGCCAGAAUGCGCUCGACGGUGAGGGAUGAAAGCUGGGGGAGCAAACCGU